rnacentral:ncRNA from 17 species
AAAGCGCACGGCGCGACAGGUUCCCGGAAACGGGAUCAAAGGGAAUUCGGAAGCGGGAUCGUCCCGCAAGCCGAAGCUGCCCCCGCAACUGUGAUCGGCGAGCGAUCGUCCAUCCCGCGUCACUGGAUGCUCCGGCAUCCGGGAAGGCCGGACGAGACGCGACGACCCGAGAGCCAGGAGACCUGCCCGUCGCGGUCGUUCCAUC